AACGAACGCUGGCGGCGUGGAUUAGGCAUGCAAGUCGAACGCGAAAGUCACCUUCGGGUGGCGAGUAGAGUGGCGAACGGGUGAGUAACACGUGAGGAACUUGCCUUCGACAGGGGGAUAACACUCUUAACAGGGUGCUAAUACCGCAUGAGACCACGGGGCUGCAUGGCCCUGAGGUCAAAGGUGGCCUCUAUUUAUAAGCUACCGGUCGAAGAUGGCCUCGCGUCCCAUUAGCUAGUUGGCGGUGUAACGGACCACCAAGGCGACGAUGGGUAGCUGGUCUGAGAGGAUGGUCAGCCACACUGGGACUGAGAUACGGCCCAGACUCCUACGGGUGGCAG
rnacentral:rRNA from 1 species